AUCCCCAAUUUUUUUGGGGGAAAUCCCCAGUUUUUGGGGGGGGUCCCCAGUUUUUGGGGGAAAUCCCCAGUUUUUGGGGGAAAUCCCCAGUUUUUGGGGGAAAUCCCCAGUUUUUUGGGGGGAAUCCCAAGUUUUUUUUGGGGGGGAUCCCCAAUGUUUUUUUGGGGGGAUCCCCAAUUU